AUUGAACGCUGGCGGCAUGCCUUACACAUGCAAGUCGAACGGCAGCGGGGACUUCGGUCCGCCGGCGAGUGGCGAACGGGUGAGUAAUGUAUCGGAACGUACCUUUCAGUGGGGGAUAACGUAGCGAAAGUUACGCUAAUACCGCAUAUUCUGUGAGCAGGAAAGCAGGGGAUCGCAAGACCUUGCGCUGAUUGAGCGGCCGAUAUCAGAUUAGCUUGUUGGUGAGGUAAAGGCUCACCAAGGCGACGAUCUGUAGCGGGUCUGAGAGGAUGAUCCGCCACACUGGGACUGAGACACGGCCCAGACUCCUACGGGAGGCAGCAGUGGGGAAUUUUGGACAAUGGGGGCAACCCUGAUCCAGCCAUGCCGCGUGAGUGAAGAAGGCCUUCGGGUUGUAAAGCUCUUUCAGCCGGGAAGAAAUCGCACAGGCUAAUAUCCUGUGUGGAUGACGGUACCGGAAUAAGAAGCACCGGCUAACUACGUGCCAGCCGCCGCCGUAA
rnacentral:rRNA from 1 species